rnacentral:rRNA from 1 species
CACGGGGGGAGCAAGCGUUGUUCGGAAUCACUGGGCUUAAAGCGUGUGUAGGCGGACUUGUAAGUACCUUGUGAAAUCCCACGGCUCAACCGUGGAACUGCUUGGUAUACUGCUUGUCUUGAGCCACUUAGGGGCUACCGGAACAAAUGGUGGAGCGGUGAAAUGCGUAGAUAUCAUUUGGAACGCCAAUGGUGAAAACAGGUAGCUGGGAGUGUGCUGACGCUGAGACACGAAAGCCAGGGGAGCGAACGGG